rnacentral:rRNA from 1 species
AUUGAACGCUGGCGGCAGGCCUAACACAUGCAAGUCGAACGAGUGGCGGACGGGUGAGUAAUGUCUGGGAAACUGCCCGAUGGAGGGGGAUAAAUACUGGAAACGGUAGCUAAUACCGCAUACCAUCGGAUGUGCCCAGCUGGGUUUAGCUAGUAGGUGGGGUAACGGCUCACCUAGGCGCAGAUCCCUAGCUGGUGUGAGAGGAUGACCAGCCACACUGGAACUGAGACACGGUCCAGACUCCUACGGGGGGCCGCAGUGGGGAAUAUUGCACAAUGGGCGCAAGCCUGAUGCAGCCAUGCCGCGUGUUUGAAGAAGGCCUUCGGUUUGUAAAGUACUUUCAGCGAGGAGGCGUUACUCGCAGAAGAAGCACCGGCUAACUCCGUGCCAGCAGCCGCGGUAAUUC